GACGAACGCUGGCGGCGUGCUUAACACAUGCAAGUCGAACGGUGAACCAGGGCUUGCCCUGGGGAUCAGUGGGCGAACGGGUGAGUAACACGUGGGCAACCUGCCCCUGACUCUGGGAUAACUCCUCGAAAGAGGUGCUAAUACCGGAUACGACCACUUCGGGCAUCCGAUGGUGGUGGAAAGAAUUUUGGUCAGGGAUGGGCCCGCGGCCUAUCAGCUUGUUGGUGGGGUAACGGCCCACCAAGGCGACGACGGGUAGCCGGCCUGAGAGGGCGACCGGCCACACUGGGACUGAGACACGGCCCAGACUCCUACGGGAGGCAGCAGUGGGAAAUAUUGCGCAAUGGGCGAAAGCCUGACGCAGCGACGCCGCGUGAGGGACGACGGCCUCGGUUGUAACCU
rnacentral:rRNA from 1 species